UGGCGAACGGGUGAGUAAUACAUCGGAACGUGCCCGAUCGUGGGGGAUAACGGAGCGAAACGUUUGCUAAUACCGCAUACGAUCUACGGAUGAAAGCAGGGGACCGCAAGGCCUUGCGCGGACGGAGCGGCCGAUGGCAGAUUAGGUAGUUGGUGGGAUAAAAGCUUACCAAGCCGACGAUCUGUAGCUGGUCUGAGAGGACGACCAGCCACACUGGGACUGAGACACGGCCCAGACUCCUACGGGAGGCAGCAGUGGGGAAUUUUGGACAAUGGGCGAAAGCUGAUCCAGCCAUGCCGCGUGCAGGAUGAAGGCCUUCGGGUUGUAAACUGCUUUUGUACGGAACGAAAAGACUCCUUCUAAUAAAGGGGGUCCAUGACGGUACCGUAAGAAUAAGCCCCGGCUAA
rnacentral:rRNA from 1 species